AUUGAACGCUGGCGGCAUGCCUUACACAUGCAAGUCGAACGGCAGCACGGGUGCUUGCACCUGGUGGCGAGUGGCGAACGGGUGAGUAAUACAUCGGAACGUACCUUAUCGUGGGGGAUAACGCAGCGAAAGCUGUGCUAAUACCGCAUACGCCCUGAGGGGGAAAGCGGGGGAUCGAAAGACCUCGCGCGAUUAGAGCGGCCGAUGCCUGAUUAGCUUGUUGGUGGGGUAAAAGCCCACCAAGGCGACGAUCAGUAGCUGGUCUGAGAGGACGAGCAGCCAAACUGGGACUGCGACACGGCCCAGACUCCUACGGGAGGCAGCAGUGGGGAAUUUUGGACAAUUGGGGCAACCCUGAUCCAGCAAUGCCGCGUGAGUGAAGAAGGCCUUCGGGUUGUAAAGCUCUUUUGUCAGGGAAGAAACACCGGCUCUAACACAGUCCGGGAAUGACGGUACCUGAAGAAUAAGCACCGGCUAACUACGUGCCAGCCGCCGCAGUAA
rnacentral:rRNA from 1 species